rnacentral:lncRNA from 1 species
AUGGUUGGACUCGAUGAUCCCAAGGGUCUCUUCCAACCUGGACCAUUCUAUGACUCUAUGGUUGGUGAGACCCUGGAAGGAGACAGUGGCCGCGGUGACCCCCGAGGGUGGGCAGGGGCUGUGGGGAGCAUCUCUCACCCACCCCCGGAUCCAACCCCUGCCUGUGCCGGGCCCCAGGUGCAUCCUGGGCUGUGGCACUGCCCGGAUGGUCCCAUGGCGCCCGUGACCAGAGCAAGGGGACCCGUGUGUUCGGGGAGCAAGACGGUGCCACGGCCAACGUGUGUGCCCGGGACACAGAGCCUCGGCACCAGCUGCGGGGUGCUCAGGCUGGCCACGUGCCCACCACCCCCUGGUUUGGCCCUUGGCUGCCCUUCGUGGGCACAGCAGGACCCCCCAGGACACGGGGAGGGUCAGCAGUUUGGGCCACGGGGCACGAGGGGGGGCUGCAGCCGCCGGGAGACGGGGCCAUGGCCACGUGUGGUGUCCCGUGAGCCCGCAGGGGUGGCGGAGGUGUGUGCCUGCUUUUGGGGCCGCUUCUGCAGGAGGGUCCCCCAUCGACCUGGGAUGCACCAGCUGCACCCUCCUGGUACCCUGCACUGCCCCAGCACCCUCACCCUGCACCCCUCACUGCCCCAGCACCCUCCAGCACCCCAGCACCCUCCAGCACCCUCACCCUGCACCCCACACUGCCCCAGCACCCUCCAGCACCCCAGCACCCUCCAGCACCCUCACCCUGCACCCCACACUGCCCCAGCACCCUCCAGCACCCCAGCACCCUCCAGCACCCUCACCCUGCACCCCACACUUGCUCCAGCACCCCAGCACCCUCACCCUGCACCCUGCACUGCCCCAGCAGCCUCCAGCACCCCAGCACCCUCACCCUGCACCCCACACUGCCCCAUCCCUGUCCCCUCUGUGUGCCAGAGCAGCAGUCACAGCUUGCUGCAGCCAGGACCAACGCUGGGGGGGACACACUUCCCGCACCCCCACCCCCCCUGCCCAGCUUAUUUGCAAGACCAGGAGAAGGACUGGGGGGGUCCGGGCCCUCCCCACACCCCAGCUCUGGGCAGGGGAGGCUGGAGAUGCUUUGCCUGCAAAAGGGGGGGGUUCAGCUGAGACCUCAGGGGCUGGAGACCAUGAGGGGGAUGCAAUGGGGGGACUCCCCAGCCCCAGCACAGCGUGGCCAGGGCAGGGUGACAGAGGGGGGAGUGUCACCAUAACCCAGCCCUGCCCUGACCCCAGUGACCUUCCUAACCCUAAAUUCGCGGGUGGAGCGGUGCGAGGGUGGGUGCAGGGAGCCCUGGUGGUCCCAGCCCUGCCCUCUCCCAGGACAGGGGAGCGAGGGGUGCGUGGGGGGCCCAGACACGGGCAGAAGGGACACGGGGCUGGCGUGGCCGUGACUCAGCGCUGGGAGCCGUGGCCACACGUGCUGCGUCUCUCCGCAAGGAGCCGGGGGGUGCCAAGUACACACUCACUGCACUCACCCCACUCGUGGCACCCACAGGCAGCUGAGAUGCUGCUCGGUGACCCCCAAAGCCACCAGCCACUACUGCAGGGCUCAGGGCUGCUGCCAGUAUGGCCACGGCCCCUUUGGGAUGAUCCCCCAGCACCCUGGAGUCUCCACCACGGCCAGUCCCCUGCACUGGGACGCCAGAGAGACGGGGCUCCCAGGACCCAAGUCCCCAUCCCAGCAGCAGCGUGUCUGGUCGGACAAACACCCUUGUCCCCCCCCAAAAAAAAGCAGACUGAGUUGGUGUUCUGAGGACAGGGGCUGCAGAGACGCGCCUGCUUAACCCUUUGGGCUCCUUGGCCCUGCAGCAGAGCAGGUGCUGCCGCACAGCUUUGCUGGGGGGGACGCAGGGGAUCCCCGGGGCUGUUGGGGCUCAGUGGCAGCCCAAAGCCAGCGGCUGUGCCCACCCCAAAGCUUUGGAGCCAGAGAACAGGGUGAGGGCUCCCGCAUCCCCCCUCCAGCCACCUCGGCUGACCUUGGGCAGCCUCCCAGGACUGCGGUGCUGGAGGCACCCCCGUCGGGGGGGGCACACACAGCCCCAUCCCACGGCACGGUCCCCGCAGCCCUCGGCCGGGCUCUCCCUGUGACCUUGGGGGGCUGCAUCCA